CCUCGGGGGGCUGCAGUGGGGAAUAUUGCACAAUGGGUGCAAGCCUGAUGCAGCCAUGCCGCGUGUGUGAAGAAGGCCUUCGGGUUGUAAAGCACUUUCAGCGGGGAGGAAGGCGGUGAGGUUAAUAACCUCAUCGAUUGACGUUACCCGCAGAAGAAGCACCGGCUAACUCCGUGCCAGCAGCCGCGGUAAUACGGAGGGUGCAAGCGUUAAUCGGAAUUACUGGGCGUAAAGCGCACGCAGGCGGUCUGUCAAGUCGGAUGUGAAAUCCCCGGGCUCAACCUGGGAACUGCAUUCGAAACUGGCAGGCUAGAGUCUUGUAGAGGGGGGUAGAAUUCCAGGUGUAGCGGUGAAAUGCGUAGAGAUCUGGAGGAAUACCGGUGGCGAAGGCGGCCCCCUGGACAAAGACUGACGCUCAGGUGCGAAAGCGUGGGGAGCAAACAGGAUUAGAUACCCUUGUAGUC
rnacentral:rRNA from 1 species